UGGCUAGGUUAUAGUGUUAUAUAUCCUGGCUGCACUGAAGCACCUGCACAGUAAGAACAUUGUUCACUGUGAUCUCAAGCCAGAGAACGUGCUCCUCUCAUCUGCUAGUGACUUCCCUCAAGUUAAACUUUGUGAUUUUGGCUUUGCCAGAAUUAUAGGUGAAAAGUCUUUCAGAAGAUCUGUGGUUGGAACACCUGCAUACCUAGCUCCAGAAGUGUUGCGGAACAAGGGCUACAAUCGUUCACUUGACAUGUGGUCUGUAGGCGUUAUCACAUACGUCUCCCUCUCUGGUACCUUCCCCUUCAACGAGGAUGAGGACAUUAACGAUCAAAUUCAAAAUGCUGCCUUCAUGUAUCCUCCAAACCCAUGGAAAGAAAUUAGUCAAGAGGCCAUUGAUCUGAUCACCAACUUGCUACAAGUGAAACAACGUAAACGUCUGACAGUGGACAAGUCACUGGCACACGUGUGGCUGCAGGACUACCAGUGCUGGUGCGACCUGAGAGAUCUGGAACACAAAGUAGGAGUGCGGUACAUUACACACGAGUCUGAUGACUCUCGCUGGGCAACCUAUCGUAGACCUGGCGACCAAGUCUCUCCCGUCACUCCUGUAUCUCUCUCCCCAGAGGCAGAUGUAUUACCUGCUGCAUAAUUCAUUCUAGAAUCUUUAAUUUUAUGAAAUAGCUGUUAACAUAUUUGGAUGUGGCGUACUUUUAAGGCGACGUUAAUGUGAUGCUGCGUGUUGAUAAUGCCGACGCAAUGGCAAUAAAGUGGGCAUAAAAAGAUGUUCUUAUGUUAAUUAUCUGUUGAUGGUUAUGUGGUAAUGGCCCCACCAGUUAGGCCUGAUGGCCAUAGUGGCCCUAUCACACCAGGCCUGAUGAUGGCCAUAGUGGCCCUAUCACACCAGGCCUGAUGAUGGCCCUAGUGGGCUGUCACACCAGGCCUGAUGAUGGCCCUAGUAGGCCACUAUCACACCUGGCCUGAUGAUGGCCUUAGUGGGCCACUAUCACACCAGGCCUGAUGAUGGCCCUAGUGGGCUGUCACACCAGGCCUGAUGAUGGCCCUAGUAGGCCACUAUCACACCUGGCCUGAUAAUGGCCUUAGUGGGCCACUAUCACACCAGGUCUGAUGAUGGCCCUAGUGGGCUGUCACACCAGGCCUGAUGAUGGCCCUAGUGGGCUAUCACACCAGGCCUGAUGAUGGCCCUAGUAGGCCACUAUCACACCUGGCCUGAUGAUGGCCUUAGUGGGCCACUAUCACACCAGGCCUGAUGAUGGCCCUAGUGGGCUGUCACACCAGGCCUGAUGAUGGCCCUAGUGGGCUAUCACACCAGGCCUGAUGAUGGCCCUGGUGGGCCACUAUCACACUAGGCUUGAUGGCCCUGGUGGGCCACUAUCACACUAGGCUUGAUGGCCCUGGUGGGCCACUAUCACACCAGGCCUCCUAAAUUACCAAGUACAUACUAGACAAAUAACAUGUAUUAGGAAACACACCAAGUAAAGUGUAUAGUGAUGUAAGUAGAAGUUUGUGAGAGUUGCUUGUCAUUGUGUUGCAUGUUGGUGAGACAACACACCAGCGGUCCUGCCAGAGUGCAACACAUGUAACACUUGUUACACACACGACAGAUGGGUACUACCUUCCUGCCAACCUGCUGCCAGAGUGCAACACAUGUAAUACUUAUUACACACAUGACAGGUGGGUACUACCUUCCUGCCAACCUGCUGCCAGAGUGCAACACAUGUAAUACUUAUUACACACAUGACAGGUGGGUACUACCUUCCUGCCAACCUGCUGCCAGAGUGCAACACAUGUAAUACUUAUUACACACAUGACAGGUGGGUACUACCUUCCUGCCAACCUGCUGCCAGAGUGCAACACAUGACAGGUGGGUACUACCUUCCUGCCAACCUGCUGCCAGAGUGCAACACAUGACAGGUGGGUACUACCUUCCUGCCAACCUGCUGCCAGAGUGCAACACAUGACAGGUGGGUACUACCUUCCUGCCAACCUGCUGCCAGAGUGCAACACAUGACAGGUGGGUACUACCUUCCUGCCAACCUGCUGCCAGAGUGCAACACAUGACAGGUGGGUACUACCUUCCUGCCAACCUGCUGCAAGAGUGCAACACAUGACAGGUGGGUACUACCUUCCUGCCAACCUGCUGCCAGAGUGCAACACAUGACAGGUGGGUACUACCUUCCUGCCAACCUGCUGCAAGAGUGCAACACCUCGACCAGGCUUGUUUCAUUUAUUGUUCGUUAUGUUUAUUAUAGAAACAUUUUGUUAUAUUCCAUUGGCUAGAUCAGUGUGUCAUUUCUUUCCUUGCACUCUCAGAUUACCUCAACUUUUGUCUUUGUUUUCAACCUUUUUUGUGCAAUAAGUUACAUUUAAAUUUUUACUCUCUACAUUGUUCUGAU